GACGAACGCUGGCGGCGUGCUUAACACAUGCAAGUCGAACGGAAAGGCCCUGCUUUUGUGGGGUGCUCGAGUGGCGAACGGGUGAGUAACACGUGCGUAACCUGCCCUUGACUUUGGGAUAACUUCAGGAAACUGGGGCUAAUACCGGAUAGGAGCUCCUGCUGCAUGGUGGGGGUUGGAAAGUUUCGGCGGUUGGGGAUGGACUCGCGGCUUAUCAGCUUGUUGGUGGGGUAGUGGCUUACCAAGGCUUUGACGGGUAGCCGGCCUGAGAGGGUGACCGGCCACAUUGGGACUGGGAUACGGCCCAGACUCCUACGGGAGGCAGCAGUGGGGAAUAUUGCACAAUGGGCGGAAGCCUGAUGCAGCAACGCCGCGUGCGGGAUGACGGCCUUCGGGUUGUAAACCGCUUUCGCCUGUGACGAAGCGUGAGUGACGGUAAUGGGUAAAGAAGCACCGGCUAACUACGUG
rnacentral:rRNA from 1 species